GUCGCAAGACCAAAGAGGGGGACCUUCGGGCCUCUUGCCAUCGGAUGUGCCCAGAUGGGAUUAGCUUGUUGGUGGGGUAACGGCUCACCAAGGCGACGAUCCCUAGCUGGUCUGAGAGGAUGACCAGCCACACUGGAACUGAGACACGGUCCAGACUCCUACGGGAGGCAGCAGUGGGGAAUAUUGCACAAUGGGCGCAAGCCUGAUGCAGCCAUGCCGCGUGUAUGAAGAAGGCCUUCGGGUUGUAAAGUACUUUCAGCGGGGAGGAAGGGAGUAAAGUUAAUACCUUUGCUCAUUGACGUUAUCCGCAGAAGAAGCACCGGCUAACUCCGUGCCAGCAGCCGCGGUAAUACGGAGGGUGCAAGCGUUAAUCGGAAUUACUGGGCGUAAAGCGCACGCAGGCGGUUUGUUAAGUCAGAUGUGAAAUCCCCGGGCUCAACCUGGGAACUGCAUCUGAUACUGGCAAGCUUGAGUCUCGUAGAGGGGGGUAGAAUUCCAGGUGUAGCGGUGAAAUGCGUAGAGAUCUGGAGGAAUACCGGUGGCGAAGGCGGCCCCCUGGACGAAGACUGACGCUCAGGUGCGAAAGCGUGGGGAGCAAACAGGAUUAGAUACCCUGGUAGUCCACGCCGUAAACGAUGUCGACUUGGAGGUUGUGCCCUUGAGGCGUGGCUUCCGGAGCUAACGCGUUAAGUCGACCGCCUGGGGAGUACGGCCGCAAGGUUAAAACUCAAAUGAAUUGACGGGGGCCCGCACAAGCGGUGGAGCAUGUGGUUUAAUUCGAUGCAACGCGAAGAACCUUACCUGGUCUUGACAUCCACGGAAGUUUUCAGAGAUGAGAAUGUGCCUUCGGGAACCGUGAGACAGGUGCUGCAUGGCUGUCGUCAGCUCGUGUUGUGAAAUGUUGGGUUAAGUCCCGCAACGAGCGCAACCCUUAUCCUUUGUUGCCAGCGGUCCGGCCGGGAACUCAAAGGAGACUGCCAGUGAUAAACUGGAGGAAGGUGGGGACGACGUCAAGUCAUCAUGGCCCUUACGACCAGGGCUACACACGUGCUACAAUGGCGCAUACAAAGAGAAGCGACCUCGCGAGAGCAAGCGGACCUCAUAAAGUGCGUCGUAGUCCGGAUUGGAGUCUGCAACUCGACUCCAUGAAGUCGGAAUCGCUAGUAAUCGUGGAUCAGAAUGCCACGGUGAAUACGUUCCCGGGCCUUGUACACACCGCCCGUCACACCAUGGGAGUGGGUUGCAAAAGAAGUAGGUAGCUUAACCUUCGGGAGGGCGCUUACCACUUUGUGAUUCAUGACUGGGGUGAAGUCGUAACAAGGUAACCGUAGGGGAACCUGCGGUUGGAUCACCUCCUUACCUUAAAGAAGC
rnacentral:rRNA from 1 species